rnacentral:rRNA from 1 species
GAUGAACGCUGGCGGCGUGCCUAAUACAUGCAAGUCGAGCGAAUGGAUUAAGAGCUUGCUCUUAUGAAGUUAGCGGCGGACGGGUGAGUAACACGUGGGUAACCUGCCCGUAAGACUGGGAUAACUCCGGGAAACCGGGGCUAAUACCGGAUAACAUUUUGAACCGCAUGGUUCGAAAUUGAAAGGCGGCUUCGGCUGUCACUUAUGGAUGGACCCGCGUCGCAUUAGCUAGUUGGUGAGGUAACGGCUCACCAAGGCAACGAUGCGUAGCCGACCU